ACGGCCUGUAAGGUGCGAGCCGUUAUGUAGCCUGGGGACAGAUCUCUGCCUCCCAGUGUGGGGAACUGGUACCGGGGAGUCGUACUGGGGGACUGCUACUGGACUGGGCUCACUUUAUCACUUUUCCGCACAGCUAGUGGACGGCGAUGCCCGUUUGAUGCUCUGCGAGCCCUCAACCAGCGUCCGUGAGCCCCGCUGGUGCUACCCGGAAACAUUACAAGGGCCGGAAAGGACCAGUGUUAAGGGAGCACACGUCACUCACUUUUACCCAAAAAUAUUAUCGCCCGACCGUCCAAAUUUCUCUCCGGCCGUCGAAGCAUUCAGCGAAAGCUCUCCGCCGGCGCAGACUGCCGCGAUGAAAUGGCGAAGAGGCGGCUGCUUUAUCCGUCGGCGUUGAUUUCUGGAGGUAACGGUGAACGCGCUCACCCAGCUCAGCAUCCGUGAAAAUGGCCCUGGCUAACAACUGGAAAACGGCACGCAGCAAUGGAAGCGGACGGUAGCUAGCUAGGCGGUUAGAAGAAGGCGUGCCAGGCCUCAUCCAUCCGUGCUCUGCGACUGGAUGCGUAGGAUCGCCGCUUUACGGUGGAAUGAGAGGCGGUGAAAUGUGCGAUAGAUUAUCCUUGUCGUCCGCCCAGAGAAGUCGGUCCGCUCCAGGUUCAACGCGUCGAUCAGAGGAAACGGUAAGAUUGUGCGAGGUGAGCAAAAGUGAGCGCUUCUAUUGUAGCUAGUGUGCUUUGAGUUGUUUCAGGGGGAGAACAAUGGGAAAUACAUCUGUAAACAUCAACUAAUCACUGUGAAGGUAAUUCAUUACGCCUGGUGCGUCUGUUACACUUUUAGAUUCUCCCUGUUUCUGCUAUGGAAAAUGCAUUUAGUUUAAUUUAUUAUUGCAUAUUAGAUUACCUUAAAUCAUAUGUAAAUUAACUUUAUUGUUGCUUAAGCAUAAGUAAGGCCAAGUUGAAUAUGAUUGGUGCAAACAGUGGCAGGAUUCUGCGUUUUAAAUGAUUAUGAAGCAGCAUAAACAGGUUGAUGAAGUGUGUAGUAUUUGCAAUGUGAUGUCACCCUCUAGACCGUCCACAAGCGUAGCGUAGCACCUCCACUGCCCCGUUUGGAUAGAAGUUAUUUGCUUGUAACUGAUAGUUUUGUUUCCACAUUGCUUAAUGUAAAAAAAUCACUCCCAUGUAGUAUAUUUUAUGUCACAUGGAUGGAUUUCCCUCUCCUUUUAAUUAAUAAACAAAGACAGAAAUUGAAAA